rnacentral:lncRNA from 1 species
CACAUGUCUGAGGCCCACGCGCCACCCCUAGCGCCGCCACCGGCGCCUCUAUACAAGCAGCGAUCGUGGUCGCCCGACUCGCCCGACACCUACCGCGACGAGGCAUGGCAGCGCCGCAAGGGCAACAACACCCGCCGCUCCCGCCGCCGCAGCAAGAGCGUCACCGACGAGGAUCUGGAUGAGCUCAAGGCCUGCAUCGAGCUCGGUUUCGGCUUCGACUCGCCGGAUAUGGAUCAACGCUUGUCCGAUACUCUGCCGGCGUUGGGCCUUUACAAGGCCGUCAAUAAGCAGUACUUCGACACCGUCGCCAAGUCGUUGUCUCCGUCUUCAUCAACGAUGUCCGAAUGCGAUCCACCGUCUCCCCUGGGCAGCCCCCACACCAUAUUCGGUCCCGGUAAUUUCCUUUCUCGUUUCUCCUCUCUUAACCCGCUCCGGCGUUCAUCGCCGUCGGUAUACACGAUUAUUAUUCUGUUAUCAACUUG